AUGUACUUUUUUUUUUGUAGCUACAUCCAUCAACCUCUUUGCAAGGAGCUGUUCAAAACACGAGUAAUCCAUUAUCCUAUACCAAUAGUUCUAAGCUGACAGGCGUUCCUUCACAAUGGAUACCUCAACAGUUCUCUUAUCAAUCAUCUGCUUUGCCAGGUCCAUACAUGAUGCAGCAAUUUCCACAUGAUAUGCCUCACCAGCUUCCUAGCAGUUUUUUCCCGUCAAUGAAUCAAGGUGGUGGAGUAGCAAGUGAGACCACUACUUACGGUGUUAGAACCAGCAACCAACUUGCAGCUCAAACAAACUCGCAUCUGGGUUCGCUUAAUUCAUCUGUGCCUUCUGUUGGAGGAAAUCCUUUCGGAUAGAUGGGGAUUACUGUUAUCAUUAGAUUUGAUGCUCAGAUUAUUACUGCCCUCUUCUGUCCAUUCCGACAAAGAGUUUGGGGUACCUUGUUUGUGGGGCGGUACGUGUAAACUUUGGUUUAAGAAUUUGCUGGAGAAGAUCUAUUUAUGUAUUUAUUUGUUUCAAAUGUAAAUUCCCCGUGUUUUAUUUAACUUGUUGCCCUUAUUUGGUCAUUUUGUAUUAUUCAUUUGGGUUAAUCUUAUAAUAACCUCUAGGUUUAGUGAUUCU